rnacentral:rRNA from 1 species
GAUGAACGCUGGCGGCGUGCCUAAUACAUGCAAGUCGAGCGAACAGAUAAGGAGCUUGCUCCUUUGACGUUAGCGGCGGACGGGUGAGUAACACGUGGGUAACCUACCUAUAAGACUGGGAUAACUUCGGGAAACCGGAGCUAAUACCGGAUAAUAUUUCGAACCGCAUGGUUCGAUAGUGAAAGAUGGUUUUGCUAUCACUUAUAGAUGGACCCGCGCCGUAUUAGCUAGUUGGUAAGGUAACGGCUUACCAAGGCGACGAUACGUAGCCGACCUGAGAGGGUGAUCGGCCACACUGGAACUGAGACACGGUCCAGACUCCUACGGGAGGCAGCAGUAGGGAAUCUUCCGCAAUGGGCGAAAGCCUGACGGAGCAACGCCGCGUGAGUGAUGAAGGUCUUCGGAUCGUAAAACUCUGUCAUUAGGGAAGAACAUACGUGUAAGUAACUGUGCACGUCUUGACGGUACCUAAUCAGAAAGCCACGGCUAACUACGUG